rnacentral:lncRNA from 14 species
GGGGAGGGGGAGGACGAGGAGAAGAAAUACAACAAAGCAUUCUAAAUUGUAUCAGAAGGGUUUCCUAUAUUCAGUUACAGUAGUUACAAUUCAUGUUUUUUUUUUCCUCAUAGGGUAUGAGUAUCCGCAUGACAUUAGAAUGAUAAAUAUUCAAAGGAACUUCAGUUCACAGGACUUAAGAAAUUUUACAGCUUUCCUUCCCUACCUGGGGUAAUCAUGAAAUAUCUAAACGCUCAUGUACAUGGGAAAUUCAUCUUGAAACUCAGAAGCUCAGCAAGCAGCCAGCAGCAAAAAAUUGAGUCUGUCAUCUUCCUUCAGAUUCACAAAAACACAAAGGCAACGUAUAUACUAACCCAAGAGUAACAUCUAUUAAUCCACCACAAGAAAAACAAAGUUGCCUACUCCAAAACUUGAUAUGUUAUCCAUAAUUGCAGAGAAAGGACAAGAAUCAGAUCACAUAUUCGAAAUUUACGUAAAGAAUCACACUGGUCCCUGAGGUGUAGGCUUGACAGUGAACAACACAGUGGCUGGAAUGAAGAAUACAUGCUUAUAACAGCAUCUGUCUUAAAGGGCUUCAGCAUGAACGAGUCCUUCCUGCACUCCAACAGCAGCCCUAGUGAACACCUCCGGGCCGAGCAAGGCAGCGGGCUGACCUGGAUUCUCAACUUCGAGGAGAUCAGCCCUACAAAGUUUCCUGGAUUGUACCGGACUGGUGAGCCUUCGCCUCCCCAUGACAUCCUCCACGAGCGUCCUGAUGAUGAGAAAGACAAUGGAAAGAAAAAAGGAAAAUUUAAGGAAAAGGAGAUAAGGACUGAAUGCUAAGCUGCCUUCUAGGAAGACAGCUCUGGAGAUGAAGCUGAAAGUCCUUCCAAGAUGAAGAGGUCCAAGGGAAUCCAUGUGUUCAAAAAGCCCAGCUGCACUAAAAAGAAGAAAAAGGAUUUUAAAAUCAAAGAAAAGCCCAAAGAAGAAAAGCAUAAAGAGGAAAAGCAUAAAGAAAAGAAAUGUAAAGACUUGACAGCAGCCAAUGCUGUUAAAGAUUGGAAGGAGAAGAAGAAAAAGAAGAAGCCAACUCAGUAGUCAGAGGUGCCACAGACAGACGCCCCAAGUCUGAG